UCAACUUGAGAGUUUGAUCCUGGCUCAGAACGAACGCUGGCGGCAGGCUUAACACAUGCAAGUCGAGCGCCCCGCAAGGGGAGCGGCAGACGGGUGAGUAACGCGUGGGAAUCUACCCAUCUCUACGGAAUAACGCAUGGAAACGUGUGCUAAUACCGUAUACGUCCUUCGGGAGAAAGAUUUAUCGGAGAUGGAUGAGCCCGCGUUGGAUUAGCUAGUUGGUGGGGUAAAGGCCUACCAAGGCGACGAUCCAUAGCUGGUCUGAGAGGAUGAUCAGCCACACUGGGACUGAGACACGGCCCAGACUCCUACGGGAGGCAGCAGUGGGGAAUAUUGGACAAUGGGCGCAAGCCUGAUCCAGCCAUGCCGCGUGAGUGAUGAAGGCCCUAGGGUUGUAAAGCUCUUUCACCGGUGAAGAUAAUGACGGUAACCGGAGAAGAAGCCCCGGCUAACUUCGUGCCAGCAGCCGCGGUAAUACGAAGGGGGCUAGCGUUGUUCGGAUUUACUGGGCGUAAAGCGCACGUAGGCGGACUAUUAAGUCAGGGGUGAAAUCCCGGGGCUCAACCCCGGAACUGCCUUUGAUACUGGUAGUCUUGAGUUCGAGAGAGGUGAGUGGAAUUCCGAGUGUAGAGGUGAAAUUCGUAGAUAUUCGGAGGAACACCAGUGGCGAAGGCGGCUCACUGGCUCGA
rnacentral:rRNA from 1 species